rnacentral:sRNA from 1 species
AGUCAUGCUACAGCCAAUGCCCUUUUGCAGCUGAGACUUACAGGAAAGAGAUCUCAUUCAGUAGGAGUACUGAGACCUGAGGCUGGUGGUGCCAGGAGGAGGCAGGGAUAGGGAGGGCUUUGCAGCAGCUGUAGAUAGGCCUGGAAGAAUGGGUAAAUUCAGACAGAUUUGUGAAGGCACAGUUCACCAUCUGUGAAAGGGGGAGAUGAUCAAUCGGAUUGAGAAGAACAUCCUGAGCUCAGCGGACUACGUGGAACGCGGGCAAGAGCACGUCAAGACGGCCCUGGAGAACCAGAAGAAGGCGAGGAAGGUGAGCCUCCCAGGCCCGGCCACUGUCCCAGGCACCCUGUGUGUCUUCCCUGACCCCCUCCUCUCCCACAGAAGAAAGUCUUGAUUGCCAUCUGUGUGUCCAUCACCGUCGUCCUCCUAGCAGUCAUCAUUGGCAUCACAGUGGUUGGAUAAUGUCGCACAUUGUUGUAGAGACGGGGUUUCACCGUGUUAGCCAGGAUGGUCUCGAUCUCCUGACCUCGUGAUCCGCCCGCCUCAGCUUCCCACAGUGCUGGGAUUACAGGCGUGAGCCACCGCGCCCGGCCCCCCGACACCUAGUUUUAAAGGGCCCUUGCUGUUGCUGCCGCUGCCGCCGCUCCCAGCUGCCCAGUCUGGUGGGCUCAGUCCCGCGUUGCCAUGCGUGGGAGACCGCGUCGCCUAAGCGCUGGAUGUGGCUUCGCUGAUGCACAUUGGACCGGGCUCUGGACUGGGCUAGGGGAAGGGCAGGAGGGCGGAAUUGGGCCCGAGGGCCAGGCCUGGCCGACCCCCAACUGCGCCUCCCGGUGCCCCGCAGCGCCUCCCGGUGGCCCUGGAGUGCAGGUUGUACCGUCCGAGAUCGCCCGCAACUGGGCGAGCUGUGCAUGGGGCGUGGCUGAGGCCGUGGUUUGGUUACGAUUGGCCAGCGGGACUUAAGUGUUGUCUCUGAAGAGCAUGGACGUUAGUUUGGAGGGUCCUGGGAGAGUGAUCCCCGUCCCACCAUCAAAUGGCGCUUAGGUCUAGGAAGCGGGUGUGGGCGGGGCCUUAGGGCGAGGCGCAGACACACCCCGAAGUGGUUGGAUUGUAUACCGCAAGGGGCUGGAUCGAAUCCCCCAAAGACACUGGAAGGCUGUGUGGCUGAGGAGGGCCCGGCAGAUCCAGUGUGUUGUGGGCUUUAUAGGAAAGAGCUCCACCUUCUCUGGAGUGUGCAGAUGCGAUCUAGGUGUGUCCACCCGAUGGGAGCUGCGGGCCAGGCUGAUGCUGCCCCAGUACAAAGCUGAUUUGGACCUGGGGUCUCUGGACUUCCCUGAUUCUCUGCUUGCAUCUCCAGCAAAAUCCUGUCCCGUUGGCUGCCUUCAUCCACUCUCUCACCUCUCUGCCUUCAGAGUAAAAUUGCAAGAUCUGUGGUGCUUACUGGGAUCUGA